GUGUACAAGGCCCGGGAACGUAUUCACCGCGGCAUUCUGAUCCGCGAUUACUAGCAAUUCCAACUUCAUGCAGGCGGGUUGCAGCCUGCAAUCCGAACUGGGACCGUUUUUGGGGUUUUGCUCUGCCUCGCGGCUUUGCUUCCCUCUGUUAACGGCCAUUGUAGUACGUGUGUAGCCCAGGUCAUAAGGGGCAUGAUGAUUUGACGUCGUCCCCACCUUCCUCCGUUUUGUCAACGGCAGUCUGAUUAGAGUGCUCUUGCGUAGCAACUAAUCACAGGGGUUGCGCUCGUUGCGGGACUUAACCCAACAUCUCACGACACGAGCUGACGACAACCAUGCACCACCUGUCUCAACUUUCCCCGAAGGGCACCUGAUGUAUCUCUACUUCGUUAGUUGGAUGUCAAGACCUGGUAAGGUUCUUCGCGUUGCUUCGAAUUAAACCACAUACUCCACUGCUUGUGCGGGCCCCCGUCAAUUCCUUUGAGUUUCAACCUUGCG
rnacentral:rRNA from 1 species